rnacentral:miRNA from 5 species
AGGUGCAUUGUAGUCGCAU